rnacentral:rRNA from 1 species
GUGGGGAAUAUUGGGCAAUGGGCGAAAGCCUGACCCAGCAACGCCGCGUGAAGGAAGAAGGUCUUCGGAUCGUAAACUUCUAUCCUUGGUGAAGAUAAUGACGGUAGCCGAGAAGGAAGCCCCGGCUAACUACGUGCCAGCAGCCGCGGUAAUACGUAGGGGGCAAGCGUUGUCCGGAAUGAUUGGGCGUAAAGGGCGCGUAGGCGGCCUGGUAAGUCUGGUGUGAAAGUCCUGCUUUUAAGGUGGGAAUUGCUUUGGAUACUGUCGGGCUUGAGUGCAGGAGAGGUAAGCGGAAUGCCCGGUGUAGCGGUGAAAUGCGUAGAGAUCGGGUGGAACACCAGAGGCGAAGGCGGCUUACUGGACUGUAACUGACGCUGAGGCGCGAAAGUGUGGGGAGCAAACAGGAUUAGAAACCCCAGUAGUCC